rnacentral:rRNA from 1 species
UGACGCUUAGGCUCGAAAGUGUGGGGAGCAAAUAGGAUUAGAUACCCUAGUAGUCCACACCGUAAACGAUCAUCAUUAAAUGUCGGCUCGAACGAGUCGGUGUUGUAGCUAACGCAUUAAAUGAUGUGCCUGGGUAGUACAUUCGCAAGAAUGAAACUCAAACGGAAUUGACGGGGACCCGCACAAGUGGUGGAGCAUGUUGCUUAAUUUGACAAUACACGUAGAACCUUACCUAGGUUUGACAUCUAUUGCGACGCUAUAGAAAUAUAGUUGAGGUUAACAAUAUGACAGGUGGUGCAUGGUUGUCGUCAGCUCGUGUCGUGAGAUGUUGGGUUAAGUCCCGCAACGAGCGCAACCCCUUUCGUUAGUUGCUUUUCUAGCGAUACUGCUACCGCAAGGUAGAGGAAGGUGGGGAUGACGUCAAAUCAUCAUGCCCCUUAUAUCUAGGGCUGCAAACGUGCUACAAUGGCUAAUACAAACUGCUGCAAAAUCGUAAGAUGAAGCGAAACAGAAAAAGUUAGUCUCAGUUCGGAUAGAGGGCUGCAAUUCGCCCUCUUGAAGUUGGAAUCACUAGUAAUCGCGAAUCAGACAUGUCGCGGUGAAUACGUUCUCGGGU